rnacentral:rRNA from 1 species
AUUGAACGCUGGCGGCAUGCCUUACACAUGCAAGUCGAACGGUAACAGGUCUUCGGAUGCUGACGAGUGGCGAACGGGUGAGUAAUACAUCGGAACGUGCCUAGUAGUGGGGGAUAACUACUCGAAAGAGUGGCUAAUACCGCAUGAGAUCUGCGGAUGAAAGCAGGGGAUCGCAAGACCUUGUGCUACUAGAGCGGCCGAUGGCAGAUUAGGUAGUUGGUGGGAUAAAAGCUUACCAAGCCGACGAUCUGUAGCUGGUCUGAGAGGACGAUCAGCCACACUGGGACUGAGACACGGCCCAGACUCCUAUGGGAGGCAGCAGUGGGGAAUUUUGGACAAUGGGCGAAAGCCUGAUCCAGCAAUGCCGCGUGCAGGAUGAAGGCCUUCGGGUUGUAAACUGCUUUUGUACGGAACGAAAAGCCCCGGGUUAAUACCCUGGGGUCAUGACGGUACCGUAAGAAUAAGCACCGGCUAACUACGUGCCAGCCGCCGCAGUAA